rnacentral:rRNA from 1 species
UACGAAGGGGGCUAGCGUUGCUCGGAAUGACUGGGCGUAAAGGGCGCGUAGGCGGCUCAUACAGUCAGAUGUGAAAUUCCUGGGCUUAACCUGGGGGCUGCAUUUGAUACGUGUGGGCUUGAGUGGGGAAGAGGGUCGUGGAAUUCCCAGUGUAGAGGUGAAAUUCGUAGAUAUUGGGAAGAACACCGGUGGCGAAGGCGGCACUCUGGACCGAUACUGACGCUGAGGCGCGAAAGCGUGGGGAGCAAACAGG